UGACAUGAUAUAAUGUGGCGGUUUGAAAGA
rnacentral:piRNA from 1 species